GCUAAUAUUGGGCUGGGGAUUUAGCUCAGUGGUGCUGCACCUGCCUUGCAAGUGCAAAGUUCUGAGUUCAACCCCUAGUAACCUCCCCCAAAAGAAGCUAACAUUAAUUCAAUAGUGUGCACAUGUGCACUGUACUAAGUAUUUUGUGUGUGUGUUUCCAUUUACUUUUCCUCCUGGCCCCUGGUGCUAUUAUUCCCAUUUUACAGAUGAUGAAAUCCUGACUCAGAAAGGUAAACUUGCUCAAGGUCACACAGUUGUGGCAGAGUCAGGACUUGAACCCAGACACCAGCAUCCAAAGUCUGACCUCUUAACCCCUGCGUGGCCCAGGCUGAGAAUUAAGGGCCAGAUAGAGGCGGAAAGCGACACCGAGAAUCCAUUCCAAACGAGCAGCCAAGAGGAGACGAGGCAGCUCCCAGAUGUUGAUGCUUUGUUUUUUGACAUAAAUCUUUGCACUCAUGUGGGAGUUUUCAUUGAUUCAUGUUCCCAUCUGCUGAAUUUCCUUUUAUUUAUUUAAUAUGGCUUUUUGGGGAAAUCUUGCUCCGAAGCUCUGGAGGGGCAUAAACCGUGGCAACCGCUGCACCCCUCCUCCCUCCUGCCAACCUCGGCUGGGGGAGGGGGGUCGGUGGUGUCCAGAGGGGAGCGCGGCUCUGCGCCCUCGCUGGGUGGCAGGCGCGACCGCUUGGUUACUUGGGGUCUGCCAGAGGCUGUAAACCAAGGAAGAAAGCAAGCGAGAGACAGAUUACGCCGUGUAUCUGCUUCAUGUCCUUCCCUCUCAUCCACAAUAACGCGUUUCCUUCGUGCUAAAACCCU
rnacentral:lncRNA from 1 species